UUAACACUCUACUGUAAGUCUCUCUGGAUAAGAGCGUCUGCUAAAUGACUCAAA
rfam:Salmo salar isolate Sally breed double haploid chromosome ssa09, whole genome shotgun sequence.